UACGUAGGGGCAAGCGUUGGUCCGGAAUCAUUGGGCGUAAAGAGCGUGUAGGCGGCCCGGUAAGUCCGCUGUGAAAGUCCAGGGCUCAACCCUGGGAUGCCGGUGGAUACUGUCGGGCUCGAGUCCGGGAAGAGGAGUGUGGAAUUCCUGGUGUAGCGGUGAAAUGCGCAGAUAUCAGGAGGAACACCAAUGGCGAAGGCAGCACUCUGGGACGUGACUGACGCUGAGACGCGAAAGCGUGGGGAGCAAACAGG
rnacentral:rRNA from 1 species